rnacentral:pre_miRNA from 1 species
ACAACAACCGGUCCGUCGGUCUACCGAGCAAUAUCACCCGCUCGGUGGAAGAUCUUCCCCUUGUGGU